CGGAGGGUUAGCGUUGUUCGGAAUUACUGGGCGUAAAGCGCACGUAGGCGGAUUAGUCAGUCAGAGGUGAAAUCCCAGGGCUCAACCCUGGAACUGCCUUUGAUACUGCUAGUCUUGAGUUCGAGAGAGGUGAGUGGAAUUCCGAGUGUAGAGGUGAAAUUCGUAGAUAUUCGGAGGAACACCAGUGGCGAAGGCGACUCACUGGCUCGAUACUGACGCUGAGGUGCGAAAGCGUGGGAGCAAACAGGAUU
rnacentral:rRNA from 1 species